AUUGAACGCUGGCGGCAUGCCUUACACAUGCAAGUCGAACGGCAGCACGGGAGCAAUCCUGGUGGCGAGUGGCGAACGGGUGAGUAAUAUAUCGGAACGUGCCCAGUCGUGGGGAUAACGUAGCGGAAGCUACGCUAAUACCGCAUACGAUCUAUGGAUGAAAGCGGGGGAUCGCAAGACCUCGCGCGAUUGGAGCGGCCGAUAUCAGAUUAGGUAGUUGGUGAGGUAAAGGCUCACCAAGCCGACGAUCUGUAGCUGGUCUGAGAGGACGACCAGCCACACUGGGACUGAGACACGGCCCAGACUCCUACGGGAGGCAGCAGUGGGGAAUUUUGGACAAUGGGCGCAAGCCUGAUCCAGCAAUGCCGCGUGCAGGAUGAAGGCC
rnacentral:rRNA from 1 species